GUCGAACGAAGCAGAAGGAUGCUUGCAUCCUUUUGACUGAGUGGCGGACGGGUGAGUAACGUGUGGAGAACCUACCUUACACAGGGGGAUAACGGCUGGAAACGGCUGCUAAUACCGCAUAAGCAUACAGCUUCGCAUGAAGCCGUGUGAAAAGAAGUAUCGGUGUAAGAUGGCUCCGCAUCUGAUUAGCUAGUUGGUGAGGUAAUGGCUCACCAAGGCAACGAUCAGUAGCCGGCCUGAGAGGGCGACCGGCCACAUUGGGACUGAGACACGGCCCAGACUCCUACGGGAGGCAGCAGUGGGGAAUCUUGCACAAUGGGGGAAACCCUGAUGCAGCAACGCCGCGUGAGCGAAGAAGUAUUUCGGUAUGUAAAGCUCUAUCAGCAGGGAAUAGAAAAGAAGGUACCUGACUAAGAAGCCCCGGCUAACUACGUGCCAGCAGCCGCGGUAAUACGUAGGGGGCAAGCGUUAUCCGGAUUUACUGGGUGUAAAGGGAGCGUAGACGGCUGUUUAAGUCAGAAGUGAAAGCCCAUUGCUUAACGAUGGGACUGCUUUUGAAACUAAGGAGCUGGAGUGCAGGAGAGGUAAGUGGAAUUCCUAGUGUAGCGGUGAAAUGCGUAGAGAUUAGAAGGAACACCAGUGGCGAAGGCGGCUUACUGGACUGUAACUGACGUUGAGGCUCGAAAGCGUGG
rnacentral:rRNA from 1 species